CCAAAUGGACUUCCAUUUUACACUCAAAGAAGACAAUGACCAGCUCUAGUUAGGCUUGAUCGAGUAAAGGGGUCUUUAGGCACUAAAAGAAGGCGCUGGAAUUGCUGUCUCAUUUACUCGCCGAUUUAGUUUAAAAUGAGAAUCAUUCUGAGGCUCUAUCACAUGAUACUAGUAGUUCUUUUGCUAUGCUCAAUACUUCAGGUAGUUAUAAUGUGUUUAAAUUAGUGAUUAUGUAUAAAUAAGGUAUAGGUGAUGGGGACGAAUAGCAGCCAUUUUGUGCAUAGAUAUAGAAUUGGCUAUGGGGAAACAUACGUUAGUGUGGUAUGGUUGACCGAAGGAUGAUCAGUUACAGACAGAUCGUCAUGUGAUUUGUGCUGAAUUUCGAUUCAAUGUCAGUUGUGAGUCCUGUAAUCGUAAUUCAAGUUUAUUAGGCACUAGAUACAGAAGCUUGUACUAGCAUUUUUCUUGUGCUCGUAUAUUACCAUCACAGUACUGCCAUAUUUUUGUCGGCAUCACUGGGUAC